rnacentral:tRNA from 1 species
UAAAAGGUGGCUGAGUUAUAGGCGCUAGAUUGUAAACCUAGAAACGAGUGAAACUCCCUUUUAA